GACAGGUACCAGGGCUUUAUUAGACAUUUCACUGAAUACAAAGAAACUUUUUUUUUACAUUAAAUACACAUUUUUGUCAUAAAAUUCACAUUUGCUAUAUGGAACUGUAGGCAUUUAUUUUCUCUACACAUUUAUUAAAGUACCAACAGCCAUAUCCUAAAAAGAGAAGGCACAGAUCUGUUUCUUUCUGCUGAGUUUCUAGUGUCCAGUGAACAGAAAAUCACCAGCACUAUAUACUCAACCUUUCAUUAGAAAUGUAGUAAAUUAACUCAAACAUUGACAAAAAAGUCCAUGUGAAAAUGGGGUGUUGGUAAUAAAAUAUUAAGGAGUUUUGAUUUGCAUUCUACUUAAAGUAUCCCACAGUAGUAUAUAGAAUCCAAGAACAUUCAAAAACCUUCUUUUUCUCCACAUAGUUACAAGGUUUCUCAGUACAAAAUGGCAGGGUUGUAAAAAACUGCUUUCCUGAAGCAAGCUAGGUUUUAUUCCCCAUUGGCAUUAAUUAUUCCAAAAACUGACCUGGAACUUAACCUCGACCAUUGGUCAGUGAUGGAUACACAGUAUGAAGUCAAUGCAGGGGUCCUCAAACUUUUUAAAUAUGGGGCCAGUUCACUGUCCCUCAGACUGUUGGAGGGCCGGACUAUAGUAAAAACAAAAUCUUUGUUUUGUGGGCCUUUAAAGAAAGAAACUUCAUAGCCCUGGGUGAGGGGGAUAAAUGUCCUCAGCUGCCGCAUCUGACCUGCAGGCUGUAGUUUGAGGACCCCUGUCAGAGUCUGCUGGGGACAUAUCAGCUCUUCAUGUAAAAACCCCCAAGCUUCAGGUCCUGGUGCUUUUUCCUCUGAAUACCUGAGGGUUCCCAAUCAUCUGCAUAGUACCCUAAAUCUUUAGAAUAUUUUCAGCCUCCUCUCCUUCCAGGCAAAAAAGUAAAUAUCUUGGAUCUCUCUGGGGAUCAAAUAAGUAAACUGACAAACUAAUUUUAGCUUAAGUAUUGAUGGGAGAAUUGUUUACGGAAUUGUCUCUCCUGGGUAACAUAUUUGCAUUUUAACAAAGUCUUCAAUGUUUUACCCUAAAGAGAUGAUUAAGGAUUCUAGAAUUAUAAUAAGCAGACUAGAGAGGAAGAUAUAUGGGGGUAUGAAUCCUAAAGAACUUUUAAAUUAUACUAAGUGAAUGUUGGUCUACCCUGACAAUAAAAAAUCAUAAGCUGUCAAAGAGAUCUUGAUAGAUGAGGAAACUGAGGUCCUGAGAACUGAAGAUUUCUACUUAAGUCCAUCAAGUUAAUGGCUUGGAUCUAAUCUCCCCACUUUUACCCAAGAUACAUUUCAUCCCACCCAACUGGUCCUAAGACAUUUUAAAAUAAAUUUGUGCAUAAUCCACUUUAACAUUGGGGCAGGGCACUAUAUCUAUUAAUUCAUACUGUAAUGCAUGGAAAGGAAUUAUGACUUUGAAAAGGGAAGAUCAUCAAGGUGAAAGAGGAGAGACAUGGCUGAAUGGGACAAGACUAAUAUUUUCCUCUCAGUGCCUGGGAAAGAGCCAUUUUGGACUCAGAGAAAUGAAUGAACUUCUAAAAGCCAGUCCUGCUUUAUAUUUUGCAAUCAAUGAAUUAGGUAUUCAGGAUAGUUUAGGAAAAACACAGUUUUAGUCUUAGAGAUCCUAAAAUAAGUAUUCAUUAUCCUGUUCAGUAUUAGCCCUAUUGGGAACGUUUUGGUGAUUUUGCAAAAACACAAAAGAUGACAAGGUUGUAAAUGAGAAUUGAUUGUAAAUAUAAAUAACCAAUGAUGAGCCCCCCCCCCUUUUUUUUUUUUUUUUACUUAGCUUCAUGGAUCUAGAGCUAAGACUAGAGAUCAUUUAGUCCAAUGCUUUUCCUUUCAUGAAUAAACUAAGACCCGGGAUAAUAGAAUGAUUUGACCGAUGCCUCCCAAGUAGUACUCUCCAGAGGUUGAUUUGAACUCAUGUCCUCUGACUCCAGAGGAUCUUUUCUCUGUACUACAAAGCUGCCCUCAAAAUUGUAUUAUUAUAAGGAAGACAGACCUCAUCUUUAGACAAAUUUUAGGGAUUAACUGGAUCAUUACACUAGUUGAAACCAAUGUGUAUUUGCUAUUUUAAUGGGAUGAGUUUCAUCAGCAAUUUAGAAGCCUUGAAAUCAAUGCAAUUUGAGAUUGUGAAGCUUUGCAACAAUUCAAAAAUUUAAUUCUGGUAUAAAAAGAGAAAUGGGACAGUCUAUAACACCAGCAGAAUUUGAAACCAGACUUUGAUGAAAAUUGUGGUGACUUUAAGGCCGUUAACACUGUGCCCUUUUCCUUUAGGAUAAGUUGCUUUUAAAAAAUAGAACACAGUUCACAUACCCACACACAUACAUCUUCAUGCAUACACACGCAUACACAUUUGGAAUCAAUACCCACAAGACACAGAUAAAAUUAAAAUUACACAAUUUUCAACAGAUUUAUAAUCAAUACAUUUUACACACUCUACAGACUAUUGUAGCAUUUGUCAUUGGGAAAACAUACAUUUAUGAACAAUGUUUAAAACUGCCUGAGAUAUGGCAAUUUCAGUAUCCACACUGUUAGUUAGCUUUUUGCAUCACUGAGGAGUUUUAAAAGAUUAAAAUGCAAUCAACAAUUUUUUUAAGAGAGGAAAGAACGAAAGAAGACCUUGCUGAAGAUAUCCUGAGGGAUAAUGUUCAUCAUUUCCUUGUUAAAAUUCUUGUCAGGAGAAUUCUACAAGCCCUUUACCUUAAGGGUGAAGAAAGCAAAAGGAGCCACUUUGGUCUGUAGACAAGGAAAAUGGAAAAUUCACGAAAAAGGAAAUUUUUUCCUGAGACUUCCAACUUUCCUGAUUAAGAAUUAGAAAUGGAAAAGAUGAAGAUAUCUUCAUUUAUCUUCAUUUUGUAUGUAAAAAAUUAAACUGAAAAUUUGGGGUCAUUCCCAUACAUCUUAUUUCAUCAGUGUUUGUAACUGCUGAGAAAUGCUAUUGCCACUGGGCACUAUUGCCACUGGGCACUCAGGCAUCUCUUCUCCUAGUGAUAGUCUAUUUUUCAAUUGUUUUUUGAUUUUUUUUUUCCUUUUCAAAUGUUUGACUAUAAUUAUAUGGGUCUGUCAGCUCCCUUGAGAAACUUGUCAUAGGAGUUAAAAUAUCAAGGAAUUCAAAAUGAAUGAUUAGAGUGCAAUAACGUACUUCAGAGGGAAAGCAAAAGUCAACAAAUAGAAAGUGUUUUACCUUAUAACAUUUUCAUUUUAGGUAGUAUACCACCAAGAAUGAUCUUUCUAAAUAUGGCUAAAAAUGUCCUAAGGAUCAUUUAAAGAUUCCUUCUUCUUCUUUUCUUGUAAGAUAAUAGCAAAAUACAGAUAAGAGAAACUGGAGAACUGAUACUAUUUGAUAUUGACUUCCUUUUUAUCUUUUUUUCCUUCUAUCCUUCCUUCUUUCCUCCUUUCUUCUCUCCCUCCCUUUUUUUGUUCUCCUUUCCCAUCCUUUACAGGACUCAUGCUUGAUGUAUUUUGGAAAACAGAACUAAAUACAAAACUCAACAAGAUGUACUCAACAAGAUCAUUUUGGGGCCAGUUCUGUAGGACUUGUGCACCUUUGUCACAAGGAAGUCAAUGGGAGUAUAUCAGUGAUUUUAAUUUAGGCUCAUAAUCAACUUGCUUGGUAUUUUAUAUAGUAGCAGAGAGAGAGUAGAAUUCAACAGAAGCCUUAUUUUUUGGAUUGAUCUCCUACCUAAGUUUUCUUUUUUUUUUUUUUUUUUGAACAAUGAAGAUUUCAGUAUAGGGAACAUUACUUCUGGCAGUACCAUUCUUUGCUAUAGCAUUAAAGCUGUCACAUGUACCUUCUCCGCACAUCUUUUAUGAAUCAGUAAGACAUGUGCCUCUCACCACCAUUUUCUCUGCACUUAGGAAUUAAGGCAAGUCUAAUUCUCUACAUUACCUGCUUCAUAUUUCCCAUGGAAAUGAAUAAAUAAGAUCAAAAAUAGUUUCAUAUAACAAGUUUUCUUUGUGUAUAUCAAGUAAUUUAAAAAAUAAAACUGCUCCUCCCUCAUAAAGAAAUUGCACAAUUAGACUUCAGAGAACCCGUAGUUGGCUUGCUUGUUGGUUUACCAGCACCCAAAUGACAAACAACAUGAAGCCAAUACCAGGAAAAUAUUGAAGUUAAGAAGCUCAAGAAGAUACAAC
ensembl:lncRNA